rnacentral:rRNA from 1 species
CCUACGGGUGGCAGCAGUGGGGAAUAUUGCACAAUGGGGGAAACCCUGAUGCAGCAACGCCGCGUGAAGGAAGACGGUUUUCGGAUUGUAAACUUCUAUCAAUAGGGAAGAAAGACAUGACGGUUCAUAAAUAAGCCGCCCCGGCUAACUACGUGCCAGCAGCCGCGGUACGACGUAGGGGGCAAGCGUUCUCCGGAAUUACUGGGUGUAAAGGGAGAGUAGGCGGCAAGGUAAGCGAUAGGUGAAAGCCUUAAGCUUAACUUAAGGAUGGCAUAACAAACUAUCGAGCUAGAGUACAGGAGAGGAAAGCGGAAUUCCUAGUGUAGCGGUGAAAUGCGUAGAUAUUAGGAAGAACACCAGUGGCGAAGGCGGCUUUCUGGACUGAAACUGACGCUGAGGCUCGAAAGCGUGGGGAGCGAACAGGAUUAGAUACCCCAGUAGUC